rnacentral:lncRNA from 1 species
AUGGUAAAUUAAUUUAGACAUUAGAGUUUAGAGUUAAGGGGUGGGGUUUAGAAUUUAGGGUUUAGGGUUUAGAGUUUAGGGUUUAGGGUUUAGAGUUUAGAGUUGGGAAGUGGGGUUUUGGGGAUAAGAUUUCAAAUUUUGAAAAAAAAAAAAAAAUUUCAAAAAGAUAAAAUGCUAUUUCGGUCAUUUUAGUUUUUGAGGACUAUUUUUGUGACAUAAACUUAGAAAAAUGCUAUUUUGGAGAUUU